GUAGGUGGCAAGCGUUGUCCGGAAUUAUUGGGCGUAAAGCGCGCGCAGGCGGUUCUUUAAGUUUGAUGUGAAAGCCACGGCUCAACCGUGGAGGGUCAUUGGAAACUGGAGAACUUGAGUACAGAAGAGGAAAGCGGAAUUCCACGUGUAGCGGUGAAAUGCGUAGAGAUGUGGAGGAACACCAGUGGCGAAGGCGGCUUUCUGGUCUGUAACUGACGCUGAGGCGCGAAAGCGUGGGGAGCAAACAGGGAUUAGAUACCCUGGUAGUCCACGCCGUAAACGAUGAGUGCUAAGUGUUAGGGGGGUUUCCGCCCCCUUAGUGCUGCAGCUAACGCAUUAAGCACUCCGCCUGGGGAUACGGCCGCAAGGCUG
rnacentral:rRNA from 1 species